GCCGAGCUUGAUAACUCUAGCUUGUAACCCGAGUGGGGGCACCAAGGUGAUGGAACAUGGCUCGUUCUACGCUCGGUUGGUCUGGAAGAUGCAUUAUGCAGGCCUGCCCGCUCCAAGUUAGGAGUUGAGCAAUGGGACUUGGGCGAAGGCUUGGGUUUCCUUGUUCCUAAAGCGGAGCUCACAGCGUGAGGCUGGCUUCACAGAGCAGCGACCACCUUCCUCUCCUCACAGUGGAAGGAUAACAGGCUGCUGCUCUUCUAGUCCACCAUAACCGGGUGUGCCAAGCUCAUGAACCAUCAUUUUU
rfam:Cajanus cajan CcLG10_59, whole genome shotgun sequence.